rnacentral:rRNA from 1 species
UACAGAGGGGGCAAGCGUUAUUCGGAAUUAUUGGGAGUAAAGAGUACGUAGGCGGAUAAGUGAGUUGGGGGUGAAAUCCCGGGGCUCAACCCCGGAACUGCCUCCAAAACUGCUGGUCUGGAGGUCGAGAGAGGCGAGUGGAAUUCCGAGUGUAGAGGUGAAAUUCGUAGAUAUUCGGAGGAACACCAGUGGCGAAGGCGGCUCGCUGGCUCGAUACUGACGCUGAGGUGCGAAAGCGUGGGGAGCAAACAGG